rnacentral:rRNA from 1 species
GACGAACGCUGGCGGUGUGCUUAACACAUGCAAGUCGAGCGGAAAGGCCCUGCUUUUGUGGGGUGCUCGAGUGGCGAACGGGUGAGUAACACGUGAGUAACCUGCCCUUGACUUUGGGAUAACUUCAGGAAACUGGGGCUAAUACCGGAUAGGAGCUCCUGCUGCAUGGUGGGGGUUGGAAAGUUUCGGCGGUUGGGGGUGGACUCGCGGCUUAUCAGCUUGUUGGUGGGGUAGUGGCUUACCAAGGCUUUGACGGGUAGCCGGCCUGAGAGGGUGACCGGCCACAUUGGGACUGAGAUACGGCCCAGACUCCUACGGGAGGCAGCAGUGGGGAAUAUUGCACAAUGGGCGGAAGCCUGAUGCAGCAACGCCGCGUGCGGGAUGACGGCCUUCGGGUUGUAAACCGCUUUCGCCUGUGACGAAGCGUGAGUGACGGUAAUGGGUAAAGAAGCACCGGCUAACUACGUG